rnacentral:rRNA from 1 species
CUUGAACGCUGGCGGCAGGCCUAACACAUGCAAGUCGCACGAGUGGCGGACGGGUGAGUACUGUCUGGGAAACUGCCUGAUGGAGGGGGAUAACUACUGGAAACGGUAGCUAAUACCGCAUACCAUCGGAUGUGCCCAGAUGGGAUUAGCUAGUAGGUGGGGUAACGGCUCACCUAGGCGACGAUCCCUAGCUGGUCUGAGAGGAUGACUAGCAACACUGGAACGGAGACACGGUCCAGACUCCUACGGGAGGCAGCAGGGGGGAAUAUUGCACAAUGGGCGCAAGCCUGAGGCAGCCAUGCCGCGGGUAUGAAGAAGGCCUUCGGGUUGUAAAGUACUUUCAGCGGGGAGGCGGUACCCGCAGAAGAAGCACCGGCUAACUCCGUGCCAGCAGCCGCGGUAAUUC